UACGGAGGAUGCAAGCGUUAUCCGGAAUGAUUGGGCGUAAAGCGUCCGCAGGUGGCAAUGUAAGUCUGCUGUCAAAGCGUCUGGCUCAACCAGAUAAAGGCAGUGGAAACUACAUAGCUAGAGUAAGGUAGGGGUAGAGGGAAUUCCUGGUGUAGCGGUGAAAUGCGUAGAGAUCAGGAGGAACACCAAUGGCGAAGGCAGCUUGCUGGGACGGUACUGACGCUGAGGUACGAAAGCGUGGGGAGCAAACAGG
rnacentral:rRNA from 1 species